UUACUGAUAUGACGAGCUUGCUCUGAUUUGAUUUUAUCUGACAAAGAGUGGCGAACGGGUGAGUAACACGUGGGUAACCUACCUCUUAGCAGGGGAUAACAUUUGGAAACAAGUGCUAAUACCGUAUAAUACCAACAACCGCAUGGUUGUUGGUUGAAAGAUGGUUCUGCUAUCACUAAGAGAUGGACCCGCGGUGCAUUAGCUAGUUGGUAAGGUAACGGCUUACCAAGGCAAUGAUGCAUAGCCGAGUUGAGAGACUGAUCGGCCACAAUGGGACUGAGACACGGCCCAUACUCCUACGGGAGGCAGCAGUAGGGAAUCUUCCACAAUGGGCGCAAGCCUGAUGGAGCAACGCCGCGUGUGUGAUGAAGGGUUUCGGCUCGUAAAACACUGUUAUAAGAGAAGAACGGCACUGAGAGUAACUGUUCAGUGUGUGACGGUAUCUUACCAGAAAGGAACGGCUAAAUACGUGCCAGCAGCCGCGGUAAUACGUAUGUUCCAAGCGUUAUCCGGAUUUAUUGGGCGUAAAGCGAGCGCAGACGGUUAUUUAAGUCUGAAGUGAAAGCCCUCAGCUCAACUGAGGAAUGGCUUUGGAAACUGGAUGACUUGAGUGCAGUAGAGGAAAGUGGAACUCCAUGUGU
rnacentral:rRNA from 1 species